UACGGAGGGUGCAAGCGUUAAUCGGAAUUACUGGGCGUAAAGCGCACGCAGGCGGCUUGUUAAGUCGGAUGUGAAAGCCCCGGGCUCAACCUGGGAAUGGCAUCUGAUACUGGGAAGCUAGAGUAUGUGAGAGGGGGGUAGAAUUCCAAGUGUAGCGGUGAAAUGCGUAGAGAUUUGGAGGAAUACCAGUGGCGAAGGCGGCCCCCUGGGCCUGUACUGACGCUCAUGCACGAAAGCGUGGGGAGCAAACAGG
rnacentral:rRNA from 1 species